rnacentral:lncRNA from 1 species
AUUGCCCUCUACUUUGGCAAAAAACCUGCUUUGCAUUCCUGCCAGACGUGAAAAUGAGUUAAGACUCCACCUCUCUGCUUUUACUACUCUUAGCUCCUCCCUCCCUAUUCUAAUUACUACCCAACCCCGCAGCUGUCCAGCAGCUGUAUGGAGAGGAAAAGGAAAACUGGGGGAACUGGAGUCAGGUCGGGGGAGUUUUUCCCUGGAGUAGUAGGGGGAGAGCUGAGUGGGGUUCAUCUCAUUGAGCUAGGAAGCUUGAACAAGACUUUUCUUCCCUUGGAAACCGGAUACCGUUUGCCAUUCGCCAGAGCUUCCAGCCUUAGGAAGUCACAUUGGAGGUUUGGGAUUUUUCUUGUGCGCAGGGGGUGUCUGAAGAACAGAUGACAAAGAGGACUGACUCCUGAGGCCUGAUUCCCCAACAUUUCACCUGCUGAUGCAGCAAAUCUGACUCUAUGGCUUCUUAUUUACUCAUGAGAAUAUGUUUUAUCUUAUACUUGACUUCUUUGAUUUCCACAAAUGAUUCAGAGUUUGCAGUCUUCCAAUGCCAGAAAAAAGUAACUGUUUGUAAAAAUGACGAGGCUACAUUAACCUGCAGCUCCACUCAGAAAUUUGAUGGGAUAGAAUUAUAUUUCCAUCAAGAGGACAAGAACAAAAACCGACUCCUCUUCAACAUGACUGGAGUUGGAAAGUCUUUUCAGCAUGGAAUGCAAUUUGAACUUCAGGAGAAAGUGGCCACGUUGGUGAUUAGGAACAUCCAAGUUUCCCAUCGGGGAUCUUACCAGUGGGUUCUUAUGGGCAAAGGAUCUUCAAACAAAUACACCAAACUAGAUGUUUUAGAAUCCCCUACUAUUUCCAAGGAGAAUGACACCCUGAUCUGUCAAGCAAUUCCGAGAAGUCAGAGGAGGAUAACUUGGUCCAAUGAUCUGCCAGAGUUCACAACCAAUCCAGAUACCACAGGUCUACUCAACCUCAGUAUCUCUCAAUCUUGGGAUGAUAGUUUCAAUGAUAAUCCACCCUGCUGUAAAAUCAUAGAAGAAGAGGACUCCCAAGAACUUUGUGCAGAAACUUGCUAUCACACUAGUACCUUUGCAAAACCAAUCUCAGGUAUUCCAGAGACACUCCAAAGAAAGAUUGUAUUGUGGCCUCUAUUAAUCAUCUCAAUUCUAAUUGCAAUUCUGUUUCUUGGCCUCAUAUGGCAUAAAAAAAUGAAAAAUAAAUCCAGUUGUUUUUUCAGAAAUGGACAUUAAUGACCUUAUCUUGGAAGAAGAAAUGAAAUAAGUCAUAAAGGAGCUCCUUAAGAACAAAAACAAACCACGGAACCUAGGAUUUACAAGUGAAUUUUGUAAAAAAAUUAAACAAUUAAUUUUUAGGGAGCAUGGAAUAAUUUACUUGUCAGAUAUAAGGAUGAGAAGAAUUUAUGAUCCAAGAAGACUUACAUGAAUAAAAGGUCUAAUUUCUCAAAUACA